rnacentral:rRNA from 1 species
UGGCAAGUCGAACGAGGUCCGGAGCUUGCUCCGGGUGCCUAGUGGCGAACGGGUGAGUAACGCGUGGGAAUCUGCCCUGGAGUGGGGGAACAACAGUUGGAAACGACUGCUAAUACCCGCAUACGCCCUGAGGGGGAAAGGCUUCGGCCGCUCUUGGAUGAUCCCGCGUCUGAUUAGCUUGUUGGUGGGGUAACGGCCUACCAAGGCGACGAUCAGUAGCUGGUCUGAGAGGAUGAUCAGGCCACCACUGGGACUGAGACACGGCCCAGACUCC